rnacentral:tRNA from 1 species
GGCACGGUGGGGCAGUGGGUAGCACUGUCGCCUCACAGCAAGAAGGUCCUGGGUUCAGAUCCCGACCGGGCCC